rnacentral:piRNA from 1 species
UCAUGACCUACAUAUACGUUGAUAGUAA